CGGAACUCCACCUCGGGUUUUUCCAGCGGGUAGGGGCGGGGAAGUCGGCCUGAGCUUCCAGUUUUCCCUCUGAAGCUGGACGGCAGUUUUAGUUUCAAUUACUUCUGUACAAGGUUGAGGGAGGAGUGACCGGCUUCCCGCCGCCACGAGUAUCCUCCAGUGCCCAGGGGUAAACGGCCUAACUGAGAACGUUGUCAGCGGCACACAACCAUUCUUGUAACUUGGAGCGUCUGACGUUCUGGGUGGGAAAGAGCGAUCGAUACCAGACCGAGGGACCUGUGCUGACCCUGAAUAUUAAGUGAAGACAAAAUAAAAUCUCUACUCAGAAUUCACAGUUAUGAAGCAGGAACAAGGCUGGAGACUAAGAGAUGAGUAAUUUGCAGCCCCACCUCUAGAAGAAGUCAAAGUACAAGAAGGGAACAGACAAGUAAAAAUUAAAGUACACCAUGAAGAGGGAUUUGCACAGGGCUUGAGAAGCUGAGGACGACCCACAGUGUAUUCAGCUGACGGACCUGGGAAAGAUUCAAAGAAGAAAGUUCAGGAGACACUUUCCAGGGUGGAAAAGGAGGUGAAAGGCAAUUCUGGAGAGAAAAACAUGUGCAGUGACACAGAGGCUUGAAGGAACUGUGGGAGUUUCAGGAAUGAGUUACAGCUGUGGCUGAGAUACAGGGUGUGUGCAGGGGAAGGGUCAAUGUGAGUGACUGUGUGCUAAGUUUGGACUUUAUCCUGCAGUUCCAGAACCCAGGUCCUCCAACUAGGACCAGACUGACAGUAAAGAACCAUCUGGAGAACUUGUUAAAAGUACAGAAUGCCCAGGCCCCACUUCUAGAAAUAUUGGCUCAGGAGGAAUCUGUUUUUUUUUAAAAGUUCCCCAUGUGAUUCUGGAGCACAUCCAACUUUGAAAACCACUGCAUGUAGGCACUGGGGAUCCAUCAGAGGGUACUGGGAAAGAGAAUGACUUGCUUUGGAAAGAGCUCUUUUGCCAGUGGAGAGUUGCAGUAGAGCCAGUCAAAACAAGGUAUGGAGAGAUGUGAUGGAGACUAUUGGGAUGGAGCAAUUAAGAAAAGGGAGCACCUGAAUAUCAGAGGUAGCAGAGAAAGCAAAUACUCAGAGUUCAAUAAAUGAAAUCUGCAAGACAGGUGAUCUGUUUGAUGUGGGAAGUGUGGCACUCGUAGAUUCUAGUUUGUAAGGGGUACCCUUGAGAACUGGGAGUGAGAGGAAGGUGGGAAGUGUGGCUGUGUGUACAGCAGUGUGAUGUUAGCUCAGGGUGGGAGACCAGCUGGAGCUGGCUUGGGCUGGAGGACAAGGCUUGGGACUAGGCUACCCAAGGUCCAGAGGCUCAGAUCUGUGAAUCCUGAGUUUGAAAACUUGCUGGUGACUCCUUGCCUGGGGCCAUCUCCCUUCUUUGUGCCACAUAUUGUCCCUGCCAGUAGUUAACCCUCAUAGCUCCCCAAAGCAGGAAAUUAUAUGAGUCCAUGUUCUCAGAGCCUUACUUGGUGCCUGUACAUAUUUGAUGCUCACAGUUCGAAGUGAGUGAAUUUUAUUAAUU